CAGCCCCUCGAGUGGUGGGGAUGAUUAUUUGGCCUAAAGCGUCCGUAGCCUGCCGGGUAAGUUUCCCGUUAAAUCCAGCGUCUCAAGCGUUGGACUGCGGGAAAUACUGCCUGGCUAGAGAGUGGGAGAGGUCAGCGGUAUUCUGGGGGUAGGGGCGAAAUCCUUUGAUCCCCGGAGGACCACCAGUGGCGAAGGCUGCUGACUAGAACACGUCUGACGGUCAGGGACGAAAGCUGGGGUAGCGAACCGGAUUAGAUACCCGAGUAGUCC
rnacentral:rRNA from 1 species